AUGGAGAAACCGUCUGCAAUAUCAGAGCACCUUAACGUAGUUGAAGUCAAGUGUGAUGUGGUCGACGAGAGAAUUCUCAAAGUUCUGAAGUUCCUGUGUGCAUUUAACAUACCAGCAACUCUGUCUCUGUGGCAGGGUGAAGAGCAAGGUCUGCAGCGCCGGCCCAUCACGCUUGAGGGUUGCCAGGCCAUGUGCGGCCACAUCACAUCAGCAUCCCCCUUCCCAUUCGGCAUGGAUCCAGGCUGCAACAACUCGUUCGACCCCCCUCGUCUCUUCCUUUUCUACAACCGGACCCGGACAGGACUACGAACCUCAUUCAGCGAGAUGGGCGAGGCGGUGUACUCGACGCCGACACCGAUCAUGUCGCCCCCGGAGCUGAAGAAGAGGUGGGAAGUGCCCGUGGAGCUCAUGGACAUAUCCAUUGCCAAGAGCGAGGCACGGGCUUACGGAUUGAAGCGCAAUUUUCUCAUCGGCGUCGGCAGGGACGUCAGAGCUAGGAUGAGCAACUACUUGCUGGGCUCCGCAAGCCCUCAUACGACAUGCUAUUCAAGCAUCGGGUCCACGCUACAGCUGCUCAAUCAAGCCUUCACAUGUUUUAAUCCUUUUCUUCCAGACAUCAACGAGUGCGAGCUCCGAGAACAAAAUCCUGAUCUCCGUGAUUUCUAUCCUUGCGACGGGAUCUGUAAGAAAAGGCUGGGAGGCUAUGACUGUCAAUGCAAACCCGGAAUGAAAGGGGACGCCAUAAAAGGAACCUGCACGGAGAAACUCCCCCUAGCAGCAAAAGUGACUGUGGAGGAUGCACAAAACCAUGAUGGUUUACCAAAUGCGGAACACAAGAGGUGGCCAGCAUCGGCGUAA
rnacentral:rRNA from 1 species